CAGUAGCCACGGGAAUACGUAGGGUGCAAGCGUUAAUCGGAAUUACUGGGCGUAAAGCGUGCGCAGGCGGUUUGUUAAGACAGAUGUGAAAUCCCCGGGCUCAACCUGGGAACUGCAUUUGUGACUGGCAAGCUAGAGUGUGGCAGAGGGGGGUGGAAUUCCGCGUGUAGCAGUGAAAUGCGUAGAUAUGCGGAGGAACACCGAUGGCGAAGGCAGCCCCCUGGGCCAACACUGACGCUCAUGCACGAAAGCGUGGGGAGCAAACAGGAUUAGAUACCCCGGUAGUCCCUGUCUCUUAUAC
rnacentral:rRNA from 1 species